UACGGAGGGAGCUAGCGUUGUUCGGAAUUACUGGGCGUAAAGCGUACGUAGGCGGUUACUCAAGUCAGAGGUGAAAGCCCGGGGCUCAACCCCGGAACUGCCUUUGAAACUAGGUAGCUAGAAUCUUGGAGAGGUCAGUGGAAUUCCGAGUGUAGAGGUGAAAUUCGUAGAUAUCCGGGAGAACACCGGUGGCGAAGGCGACUGACUGGACAAGUAUUGAUGCUGAGGUACGAAAGCGUGGGGAGCAAACAGG
rnacentral:rRNA from 1 species